GCAAGCCCUCAGUAUGUUUAGCCAUUAUGGUGGAUAUUACUGUCAAGCAUUAAACCGUUACUCAUAGCAUCGGCUCCAAGUGCAUGGGAGAGAUCACUGAAGGCUGGCGUAAUCACAGGUGACUUUAUGAAGAAGGUGGGACUUGAGAUGAGUAGGCUUCAGCUAUGCAGGUGGAAGGAGAGGAGAUGUUUAGAAAAAGCUAACAAGAAACAGGUAUGAUUAUGCCAAGUGCAGGGUAUAGGUUCCGAGAAAGCAAACCAGACUAGAAGAUGGGUUUGGGGUAGCAAGAGCCAAAGUGGAACAGAUACAUGGGUAUGAAAAACAGGUGGAGGAGUUUGCCUUCAUGCAUUUGGGGGGGGGGGGGUGGGCACAAUGAGGUUGUGGGGGAGAAGGUUAUGAACUCAUUGGUUUAAGUGACUCAUUGAAAGGACAGUGAUCCAAAGGCAGGGCACCAUGACAGGAGGACUGAUCAGAGGGAUGAGGACCCAAGACAGGUUUCAGCAAAGAGCUUAAAUAAGAAAGAGAAAAUUUGAGAGACAUGUCAAAGAAGAAAACAGGAAGCCUUGGUAAUAUGGGGUGCCUGGCGGGCUCAGUUGGUAGAGCAUGUGACUCAUGAGCUCAAGCCCCAUGUUAUGCAUAGAGAUUACUAAAAAAAAAAAGAAAGAAA